rnacentral:rRNA from 1 species
AGAGUUUGAUCCUGGCUCAGAACGAACGCUGGCGGCAGGCUUAACACAUGCAAGUCGAGCGGGCCCUUUGGGGUCAGCGGCGGACGGGUUAGUAACGCGUGGGAACGUGCCCUUUGCUCCGGAAUAGCCCUGGGAAACCGGGGGUAAUACCGGAUGUGCCCCGAGGGGGAAAGGUUUACCGGCAAGGGAUCGGCCCGCGUCUGAUUGGGUAGUUGGUGGGGUAAUGGCCUACCAAGCCUACGAUCGGUAGCUGGUUUGAGAGGAUGAUCAGCAACACUGGGACUGAGACACGGCCCAGACUCCUACGGGAGGCAGCAGUGGGGAAUCUUAGACAAUGGGCGAAAGCCUGAUCUAGCCAUGCCGCGUGGGUGAUGAAGGCCUUAGGGUCGUAAAGCCCUUUCGCCGGGGAAGAUAAUGACGGUACCCGGUAAAGAAACCCCGGCUAACUCCGUGCCAGCAGCCGCGGUAAUACGGAGGGGGUUAGCGUUGUUCGGAAUGACUGGGCGUAAAGCGCGCGUAGGCGGAUCGCAAAGUUGGGGGUGAAAGCCCAGGGCUCAACCCUGGAAUUGCCUUCAAGACUCGCGGUCUGGAGUUCGAGAGAGGUGGGUGGAAUUCCGAGUGUAGAGGUGAAAUUCGUAGAUAUUCGGAGGAACACCAGUGGCGAAGGCGGCCCACUGGCUCGACACUGACGCUGAGGCGCGAAAGCGCGGGGAGCAAACAGGAUUAGAUACCCGUAGUCC